GCGAGAACCGGUGCGCUCCCUCACUUGGGCUGCUAAUAACUAUUUCUCGGUGUCUGCGAAGAACUUGCUCCUCACACAGAGCUGGAGAAGAGAUCAGCUACUCAUUUUACAGGGUGAAAUCUGUUUUACGUGACGUGCCGAACGCCUGAGAGCUGGGGUCGUUGGAAAGCUGCUGGUUACCCCUCUCGUCCUUUCUAAAUGACACACCAAAAGUUU
rnacentral:lncRNA from 1 species